rnacentral:rRNA from 1 species
CUAUUUACAACAUUUACAGAAUGGUAGUUUAGUUGGGGCGACCGCGGGA